AGGUGGCAGAAGAGAGAAUGAGAAUGAAAACAUUAUUUUUAACUAGCGUCCAGGCCCACCUGUUGGGGAUCACUCCCAUCCAAAGCUUCACUCAGGUGCACAGGACCUCUUCAUGUCUUCCUGAUGCUGAGGAUCAGAUCUCAUGGCUCUAGGUUCCUGGGGACAGAUCUUCAGCUUGGAUUCCAGCAGAGAGGAUUCUUAGUAUUUUGAAAUGCUCCAGGUCAAGGUCCAAGCUUGACACAAGACAGGUGCAAGACAUCCAUCAGUCAGAUGAAGACAUGAGUGGAAGGAUCGAUGAAUGAAUGCUUCCAUCUGUAGCUGCCUUAGAAGGG